AGUGAACGCUGGCGGUAGGCCUAACACAUGCAAGUCGAACGGCAGCACAGUAAGAGCCUGCUCUUACGGGUGGCGAGUGGCGGACGGGUGAGGAAUACAUCGGAAUCUACUUUUUCGUGGGGGAUAACGUAGGGAAACUUACGCUAAUACCGCAUACGACCUACGGGUGAAAGCAGGGGAUCUUCGGACCUUGCGCGAUUGAAUGAGCCGAUGUCGGAUUAGCUAGUUGGCGGGGUAAAGGCCCACCAAGGCGACGAUCCGUAGCUGGUCUGAGAGGAUGAUCGGCCACACUGGAACGAGGACACGGUCCAGACUCCUACGGGAGGCAGCAGUGGGGAAUAUUGGACAAUGGGCGCAAGCCUGAUCCAGCCAUACCGCGUGGUGAAGAAGGCCUUCGGGUUGUAAAGCCCUUUUGUUGGGAAAGAAAAGCAGCAGGUUAAUACCCCGCUGUUCUGACGGUACCCAAAGAAUAAGCACCGGCUAACUUCGUG
rnacentral:rRNA from 1 species